AGCUUCUAAUAUAGUAGGGAUAUGCAGACAUGGCCAUCCUCAUCACCUGCUCGCAGCCAUAGUUGAAAUAUUAUUCCAUUGGAAAAUUAGAUACCGCCAUCCCCUCUUUAUGGUCUCUACCACAGAGAAGUUCCAAUACAUGCAUAAUCAAUAGUAACCUCAAUUACACAAUUGUAAAAAACAUGCCCGGAAUUACAUCAAAAAAACUUGAAGGAAAAGGAACCCAAAGUAAGCAAGAAGACUUGUGAAGCAAUCCUACACACCAUGUAUUUAUGAAAUACACUUAUCUAUUCAGCUAGGAAAUACACUUAUCUAUCAGCUAGUUAGUAGAAUACAUUGGCGUCCUAUGCCAAUGUACUAUACAUGAAGAACAAAAGAAUGUAAUUUCAAGAAGGAAAAGAAUGCAUCAGAAUGGGAGUGAGAAACACAUUAAAAAAUUAGGAGCAAUACAAAACAUCAACAAUUGGUUCAUUGCAAUUCCCCAAAUUACUCGAACUAAGAAAGGUUCUUUCCGUUCCUCUGCUGAUUGCUUAUUCUCUGCAACAAUAGCCGCAACAUUCACUUCCUGUUGCACCCGAACGACCGAAAAUGAUGAAGAAAUAAAAUUGAAAAAUUAGAAAAGAUAAAAAUGAUGAAGAAUGUAGCAAUCAAAAUUCAAAAUGAAAGAAGAAGAUAAAGUUAAAAAUGAUAUAUUGGUGAGGAGAGUUCCGAAAGAGAAGAACAAAGGAGAAAAGGAAGAGAUCGAGAGAUUCGAAUAGAGCCUAC
rnacentral:lncRNA from 1 species